UCAAUUUUUUUGUAGUUUUUAGUACGAAAGGACCAUUAUUACGAGAGAUUCUUUAUUACUUGAUUAAUUUU
rnacentral:rRNA from 1 species